AAAUUGAAGAGUUUGAUCAUGGCUCAGAUUGAACGCUGGCGGCAGGCCUAACACAUGCAAGUCGAACGGUAACAGGAAGAAGCUUGCUUCUUUGCUGACGAGUGGCGGACGGGUGAGUAAUGUCUGGGAAACUGCCUGAUGGAGGGGGAUAACUACUGGAAACGGUAGCUAAUACCGCAUAACGUCGCAAGACCAAAGAGGGGGACCUUCGGGCCUCUUGCCAUCGGAUGUGCCCAGAUGGGAUUAGCUUGUUGGUGGGGUAACGG
rnacentral:rRNA from 1 species